AAGAAAAACUACUGUACACCAAAACGCAAUAUUGAUCGGUAUUUAUGGAUAAAAAUUCAAAACGCAAUAUUUCAACACAGCGGGCUAAGUGUUUUUUCCCCAAAUUUUCAUUUUCACAAUCUCAUUGCAAAUUCUCAAAAUUUCUCUAUUCCUAUCGAUUAUACCUUCAAUUGAUUCCUUCUUCAAUGAAUUUCACGCUCGUCCAUCAAUCGCGACCUACAAAACUUUCAAAACCCUCAUAAUCGUCCGGUUCUUCUCUACUCAGUACUCACGAACCAAGAACCUGUUCUUCUCUAUUCCUUUCCUAUUUCCAAAUUUCUCUAACGCGACGCAAGAAUCCCUUCAAGACUCAUAAACGCUUGAAACCCUAAAGUUUUGAAACGCUACGAAGAAAAAAGAACACAAUUAUGGUGCAGUUGCAGAGGCAUAUUUUUUCGAUUCUUCGUUCUAAUCUUAAGAGAGUGGAGCAUACCAAUAGUUCGGCUACAAACCUUGUAAUCUAUCGCUUUGGUUCUUCUCUUUCACAAGAUUAGUUACAGAGCCAAUGGUCAACAAGUUUGCCAAGUAUCUUGAGGCCUUUUUAUCAUUGUUUUCAAUAUCAGAUACAAUGAUAUCCAAAUGUACUUAUGUUGUAGAAGGAUGCCUGAUCUGCAUGUUGAAGAUCAAUGGAGGAAAUUCUCAUAACUAUGAUGGUUUAGAGGUCGAGGAUCUCUGCUACAACGAAUAUAAUUGCCCCUUAAAAAGAGGACGAUUAGGAGGAUAACACUGAAAAAGGUUGCUAGCCUUUCUGCUCCAAAGUAACAAAAUAUGUAUUUGUAAGUAAGAAAAUAUCAUACUUUCACUUUCAAUGUCUGGGGGUAUUCAAUUCUGGUUUUAGAGAGGCUGAUGUUGUCAUGUAAUUGCCCAAAUCUUUGUAACUGAGCAUGUUGUCUACUGUUGGAUAUGUCGUGUUUCCCUUGAUAUUUGAUUUGAUAACAUUGUCCUUGUUAUACUUCAUUUGCUUUUCUAUUUAUAUUAAAUACUCGAAAGUAUUAUUGUUUAAUUACACACUGCACUGCCCAAAUUGUUGAAUGUGUGAUCUAAAUAAGUUUAAUCUUUUCUGCUAUUGAUUGAAAAAAAAGUUCUUGGUGAGUCUACAAGUGAUAACAUUGACAUAGGAUUUACAUUCAUAGUAGUUUGUCAACCUUUUAGAUUUAUUAUGGUCAAUUGGCCCUGAGAUUGAGACUGUGGUGGGAACACUGAUGUUUUGGUUGCAUGAUAAGAAUUUUGUGGGAAGAAUAACAGAUGCAAGGAACUUUGUCAAGGAGAUAAAAUCAUAUAUCAAAGGUUUUUUAUUUGUUUCUACUCAUGUUUUAGGUUGUAAGUGAAUGUAGAAACAAAUUUUUAUUUUUGCCAACUCUUUUCAUGGAGAUAAACCAUAUAUUAAGGUUUUUAUAUUACUACUUUUUUUCCUGUAUGGUGUUGAACCAGUUGAAGUGCAGUUCUGGAUAUGGACGAAAGGCAUCUGAUCUUACCAUUAUGUAUGUGUCAUUUUGGCUUUUGGCCUUAUAUUGCUAUUUUAGUGUGUAUAAAUUUUAUUAUUGUAUUAAGUAGAUAUUAGAAGCCAAGAAAUUAAUCUAAGCUUCAUUUAUAAUAGGGUUAAAUAAGCUUUUGGUCCCUCUAAAAUUUUGAAAUUUUGCUUUUAGUCCCUGUACAAUAAAAUUAAAAUUACAGGGACCAAAUGUACAAACAGUGAUAUUUAGAAGGACUAUAAAGUGCAAUUUUAUUUUACAGGGACUAAAAACAAAAUUCUAAAAUUUUAGAGGGACUAAAAACAUACUUAACCCUUUAUAAUAUUACAUGUUUGAUUGGUCUUUUGUCACCACUAAGCAAAUUUUCCCCAUCCGAAACAAAUAUUUUUCUACAAAUUGUGGGAACAACUCUUAAUAUUUAUCUUUGUUACAUUCUAUAAUUCUACUGCUUUUCAGCUAGGUAUUUGGUGUAGAACCAACUGAAAGUGAAGUUCUGUAUAUUUGUUCUUUUGUCUACAGUCCUCUAUAUAGCUAAUUAAGUGUGUGUAAAUAUUAUGCUCUAUUGCUGUGUGGAUUUAAGAUUAGAAGUUAUGACAUCCAAAUACCCAUUUUUAAUAUUCAAUCAGUGUAUCAGAUUAUGUAGAUGUACCUUAUUACAUAUGAUAAACAAGAGAAUUGGGACGCAUCCAACUUGAAUAUGGGAAAAUGAAAACUUGGUGAAGGGACUUGUGCAGAGAUGUACUAAUUGGACAGAACCUGAAGACCGCAGCUACAAAGUCAAUAGUGCCUCAAUUUGAAUUUGAUUCAUUCCAAAUAUAUGAGAUGGAUUAUUGAAUGCCUCAAUGACACGAAAGGAAUCAAUGAAUAUUAUUUGUUAUAUAAAUUGUUGCUAUUAUUUGGAUGUCUUGUUGACCCUAAAGAAACAUUAUGAAAUCUUUACUCAAUAUUUGAAAGUUGCAUGAUGCCUUCAAUGCGAUGUUGAUGUGAAUUGAAUUUGACCCUUAGGGAUGGAUUAUUUAAUGCCACGAUGACCUGAAACGAAUCACAAAUAUUAUUUAUUCCAUAAAAUGUUGUUAGUAUUAAGGAUGAUAUCUAUUGUAUGCUUAUAAACUUCAGUAUCUAAAUGCAACUACUAUGUAAAGUGAUUUGCAGAUACAAUGUUAUCAAGUGUGUUGGAUUAGCCUAUGAACUGAAGUACUUAUGUUGUAGAAGGAUGCCUGAUUUGCAUGUUGGAGAUCAAUGGAGGAAAUUCUCAUAACUAUGAAGGCUUAGAGGUCAAGGAUCUCUACUACAACGAAUAUAAUUGUCCCGUGAAAAUGAGGACGGUACGGAGGAUAACACUGAAAAAGGUUGCUAGCCUUUCUGCCCCAAAGUAACAAAAUAUGAAUUUUUAGGAUAAUAAUUUUGGGGGUAAAAGAAUAACAGAUGCAAGGAACUUUGUCAAGGAGAUAAAAUCAUAUAUCAAAGGUUUUUUAUUUGUUUCUGCUCAUGUUUUAGGUUGUAAGUGAAUGUAGAAACAAGUUUUAAUUUUUAUUUUUGCCAGUUCUGGAUAUGGACGAAAGGCAUCUGAUCUUACCACUAUGUAUGUGUCUUUUUGGCUUUUGAUCUUCUAUUGCUAUUUUACUAUUGCUAUUGCUA